GCACUCGUAGCUCAGUUGGAUAGAGUACAUGCCUUCUAAGCCUGUGGUCAGAAGUUCGAAUCUUCUCGAGUGCGCCA
rnacentral:tRNA from 1 species